rnacentral:rRNA from 1 species
UCCAGCCAUGCCGCGUGCGGGAAGAAGGCCUUCGGGUUGUAAACCGCUUUUGUCAGGGAAGAAAUCCUUUGGGUUAAUACCUCGGAGGGAUGACGGUACCUGAAGAAUAACCACCGGCUAACUACGUGCCAUCAGCCGCGGUAAUACGUAGGGUGCAAGCGUUAAUCGGAAUUACUGGGCGUAAAGCGUGCGCAGGCGGUUAUGCAAGACAGGUGUGAAAUCCCCGGGCUUAACCUGGGAACUGCACUUGUGACUGCAUAGCUUGAGUACGGCAAAGGGGGAUGGAAUUCCGCGUGUAACAAUGAAAUGCGUAAAUGUGCGGAGGAACACCGAUGGCGAAGGCAAUCCCCUGGGCCUGUACUGACGCUCAUGCACGAAAGCGUGGGGAGCAAACAGGAUUAGAUACCCUGGUAGUCCACGCCCUAAACGAUGUCAACUGGUUGUUGGACGGCUUGCUGUUCAGUAACGUAGCUGAAGCGUGAAGUUGACCGCCUGGGGAGUACGGCCGCAAGGUUGAAACUCAAGGAAUUGACGGGGACCCGCACAAGCGGUGGAUGAUGUGGUUUAAUUCGAUGCAACGCGAAAAACCUUACCUACCCUUGACAUGUCUGGAAUCCUGAAGAGAUUUG